GAUUUUUGGGACAAUUUAAAAACUCACAAACUUUGCAUAAAAACCUUCUACUAGUUCAGAUCGUAUGGAUAUACCUUUGUUUCCUGCUAAGCAGGUAGUAAAUUGCUUCUGUGAAGAAGUGCACCCUUAUCACGUGUUUAAUUACGACAUAAACGGUGAGCCAUGUCCAUCGAAGAUCAAAGACCAAAUUAAUUGAAUGACAACUUCAAGUUCGGGUACAUUUUUCAGGAG